AGAGCGUGGAGCGUGUGGCUUAAUUUGACUCAACACGGGAAAUCUUACCGGGUCCGGACAUAUCGAGGAUUGACAGAUUGUUAACGUGCACCAAAGGUGUUGAGUUUUUAAACUUAACAGCUCUUUCAUGAUUAUAUGAUAGGUGGUGCAUGGCCGUUCUUAGUUCGUGGAGUGAUCUGUCUGCUUAAUUGCGUUUCAAAUUUUUUUUGAUUUCUCAGGAGUCGGGUUUACGUGUCAUAUUUACAAUUGAGUUUAUGGUUGAUCGGGCGUGAACCGUGUGUGUUUUAGGACAUGCCGACCAUCGUCCAGUACAUUACUCUUAUAGUUGUUUAUUUGGCCCCUGGCUUUUUUGAACGCAACGGACGUGACCUCAACCCUUAGUUGAGAUGCUCUUGAACCAAGCUUCUCUACGUCUGCUAGACUGCUCGACUUCGGUUGGGUGGAAAGGUGGAUAAACUUUGGGGACGUCUUAAGAUAAAUAUUUUUCUCAAACCAGAGGAAGAUUGCGGCAAUAACAGGUCUGUGAUGCCCUCAGAUGUCCCGGGCUGCACACGUGCUACAUUGAGUAGCGCAGUGUGUAAACUUUAUUAGACUGAUGAGUCCUUAAUUUUUACAUUACGUGAAUCUCAUUGACUUAUCAAACCUGCUCUGAAAGGAGCGGGUAAUCUUUUCGAAGUUCUAGUUUGAUUUUCCUGUGGCGAACGUUUUGAGUCCAUGUUCCGUGUGUUUGCGGUGUCCUCUGUCAGUUUCAUGUAUUGUGGGCGUUCUUUGGUUGACUCAUCGUGGGGACUGAUUCUUGUAAUUAUGUUUCACGUGUCAACCGGGAAUGCCUUGUACAGGUUCCCGGUUCAACAGACCACCUGGAAUACGUCCCUGCCCUUUGUACACACCGCCCGUCGCUCUCACCAAUGAGCUUGAGUGUGAGUAGGUCAGACUGAGUAAUUAUUUACUUGGGAAAUCUGUCAAACACUC
rnacentral:rRNA from 1 species